GAUCCUGGCUCAGGAUGAACGCUAGCUACAGGCUUAACACAUGCAAGUCGAGGGGAAACGACAUCGAAAGCUUGCUUUUGAUGGGCGUCGACCGGCGCACGGGUGAGUAACGCGUAUCCAACCUGCCCAUCACGUUGGGAAUAACCUUGCGAAAGUAAGACUAAUACCCAAUGAUAUCCCACGAAGGCAUCCGAAUGGGAUUAAAGAUUUAUCGGUGAUGGAUGGGGAUGCGUCUGAUUAG
rnacentral:rRNA from 1 species